UACGUAGGGGGCUAGCGUUGUCCGGAAUCAUUGGGCGUAAAGCGCGUGUAGGCGGUCCGGUAAGUCCGCUGUGAAAGUCGGGGGCUCAACCCUCGGAUGCCGGUGGAUACUGUCGGGCUUGAGUACGGAAGAGGCGAGUGGAAUUCCUGGUGUAGCGGUGAAAUGCGCAGAUAUCAGGAGGAACACCAGAGGCGAAGGCGGCGACCUGGACAGUUACUGACACUCAACUGCGAAAGCGUGGGGAGCAAACAGG
rnacentral:rRNA from 1 species